UCUCAUGGAUGUGCACAGAAACUGGUUUCUUGGGAUAGAAUCUGCUUCUGAUGAAGAUGCUGUGAA
rnacentral:pre_miRNA from 1 species